UUAAGCGACUAAGCGUACACGGUGGAUGCCCUGGCAGUCAGAGGCGAUGAAGGACGUGCUAAUCUGCGAUAAGCGUCGGUAAGGUGAUAUGAACCGUUAUAACCGGCGAUUUCCGAAUGGGGAAACCCAGUGUGAUUCGUCACACUAUCAUUAACUGAAUCCAUAGGUUAAUGAGGCGAACCGGGGGAACUGAAACAUCUAAGUACCCCGAGGAAAAGAAAUCAACCGAGAUUCCCCCAGUAGCGGCGAGCGAACGGGGAGCAGCCCAGAGCCUGAAUCAGUGUGUGUGUUAGUGGAAGCGUCUGGAAAGGCGUGCGAUACAGGGUGACAGCCCCGUACACAAAAAUGCACAUGCUGUGAGCUCGAUGAGUAGGGCGGGACACGUGGUAUCCUGUCUGAAUAUGGGGGGACCAUCCUCCAAGGCUAAAUACUCCUGACUGACCGAUAGUGAACCAGUACCGUGAGGGAAAGGCGAAAAGAACCCCGGCGAGGGGAGUGAAAAAGAACCUGAAACCGUGUACGUACAAGCAGUGGGAGCACAGAGCAAUCUGUGUGACUGCGUACCUUUUGUAUAAUGGGUCAGCGACUUAUAUUCUGUAGCAAGGUUAACCGAAUAGGGGAGCCGAAGGGAAACCGAGUCUUAACUGGGCGUUAAGUUGCAGGGUAUAGACCCGAAACCCGGUGAUCUAGCCAUGGGCAGGUUGAAGGUUGGGUAACACUAACUGGAGGACCGAACCGACUAAUGUUGAAAAAUUAGCGGAUGACUUGUGGCUGGGGGUGAAAGGCCAAUCAAACCGGGAGAUAGCUGGUUCUCCCCGAAAGCUAUUUAGGUAGCGCCUCGUGAAUUCAUCUCCGGGGGUAGAGCACUGUUUCGGCAAGGGGGUCAUCCCGACUUACCAACCCGAUGCAAACUGCGAAUACCGGAGAAUGUUAUCACGGGAGACACACGGCGGGUGCUAACGUCCGUCGUGAAGAGGGAAACAACCCAGACCGCCAGCUAAGGUCCCAAAGUCAUGGUUAAGUGGGAAACGAUGUGGGAAGGCCCAGACAGCCAGGAUGUUGGCUUAGAAGCAGCCAUCAUUUAAAGAAAGCGUAAUAGCUCACUGGUCGAGUCGGCCUGCGCGGAAGAUGUAACGGGGCUAAACCAUGCACCGAAGCUGCGGCAGCGACGCUUAUGCGUUGUUGGGUAGGGGAGCGUUCUGUAAGCCUGCGAAGGUGUGCUGUGAGGCAUGCUGGAGGUAUCAGAAGUGCGAAUGCUGACAUAAGUAACGAUAAAGCGGGUGAAAAGCCCGCUCGCCGGAAGACCAAGGGUUCCUGUCCAACGUUAAUCGGGGCAGGGUGAGUCGACCCCUAAGGCGAGGCCGAAAGGCGUAGUCGAUGGGAAACAGGUUAAUAUUCCUGUACUUGGUGUUACUGCGAAGGGGGGACGGAGAAGGCUAUGUUGGCCGGGCGACGGUUGUCCCGGUUUAAGCGUGUAGGCUGGUUUUCCAGGCAAAUCCGGAAAACUAAGGCUGAGGCGUGAUGACGAGGCACUACGGUGCUGAAGCAACAAAUGCCCUGCUUCCAGGAAAAGCCUCUAAGCAUCAGGUAACAUCAAAUCGUACCCCAAACCGACACAGGUGGUCAGGUAGAGAAUACCAAGGCGCUUGAGAGAACUCGGGUGAAGGAACUAGGCAAAAUGGUGCCGUAACUUCGGGAGAAGGCACGCUGAUAUGUAGGUGAAGCGACUUGCUCGUGGAGCUGAAAUCAGUCGAAGAUACCAGCUGGCUGCAACUGUUUAUUAAAAACACAGCACUGUGCAAACACGAAAGUGGACGUAUACGGUGUGACGCCUGCCCGGUGCCGGAAGGUUAAUUGAUGGGGUCAGCGCAAGCGAAGCUCUUGAUCGAAGCCCCGGUAAACGGCGGCCGUAACUAUAACGGUCCUAAGGUAGCGAAAUUCCUUGUCGGGUAAGUUCCGACCUGCACGAAUGGCGUAAUGAUGGCCAGGCUGUCUCCACCCGAGACUCAGUGAAAUUGAACUCGCUGUGAAGAUGCAGUGUACCCGCGGCAAGACGGAAAGACCCCGUGAACCUUUACUAUAGCUUGACACUGAACAUUGAGCCUUGAUGUGUAGGAUAGGUGGGAGGCUUUGAAGUGUGGACGCCAGUCUGCAUGGAGCCGACCUUGAAAUACCACCCUUUAAUGUUUGAUGUUCUAACGUUGACCCGUGAUCCGGGUUGCGGACAGUGUCUGGUGGGUAGUUUGACUGGGGCGGUCUCCUCCUAAAGAGUAACGGAGGAGCACGAAGGUUGGCUAAUCCUGGUCGGACAUCAGGAGGUUAGUGCAAUGGCAUAAGCCAGCUUGACUGCGAGCGUGACGGCGCGAGCAGGUGCGAAAGCAGGUCAUAGUGAUCCGGUGGUUCUGAAUGGAAGGGCCAUCGCUCAACGGAUAAAAGGUACUCCGGGGAUAACAGGCUGAUACCGCCCAAGAGUUCAUAUCGACGGCGGUGUUUGGCACCUCGAUGUCGGCUCAUCACAUCCUGGGGCUGAAGUAGGUCCCAAGGGUAUGGCUGUUCGCCAUUUAAAGUGGUACGCGAGCUGGGUUUAGAACGUCGUGAGACAGUUCGGUCCCUAUCUGCCGUGGGCGCUGGAGAACUGAGGGGGGCUGCUCCUAGUACGAGAGGACCGGAGUGGACGCAUCACUGGUGUUCGGGUUGUCAUGCCAAUGGCACUGCCCGGUAGCUAAAUGCGGAAGAGAUAAGUGCUGAAAGCAUCUAAGCACGAAACUUGCCCCGAGAUGAGUUCUCCCUGACUCCUUGAGAGUCCUGAAGGAACGUUGAAGACGACGACGUUGAUAGGCCGGGUGUGUAAGCGCAGCGAUGCGUUGAGCUAACCGGUACUAAUGAACCGUGAGGCUUAACCUU
rnacentral:rRNA from 2 species